GACGAACGCUGGCGGCGUGCUUAACACAUGCAAGUCGAACGGAAAGGUCCUGCUGCUGUGGGGUGCCCGAGUGGCGAACGGGUGAGUAACACGUGAGUAACCUGUCCUUGACUUUGGGAUAACCUCAGGAAACUGGGGCUAACACCGGAUAGGAGCUCCUGCUGCAUGGUGGGGGUUGGAAAGAUUCGGUGGUUGGGGAUGGACUCGCGGCUUAUCAGCUUGUUGGUGGGGUAGUGGCUUACCAAGGCUUUGACGGGUAGGCGGCCUGAGAGGGUGACCGGCCACAUUGGGACUGAGAUACGGCCCAGACUCCUACGGGAGGCAGCAGUGGGGAAUAUUGCACAAUGGGCGGAAGCCUGAUGCAGCAACGCCGCGUGCGGGAUAACGGCCUUCGGGUUGUAAACCGCUUUCGCCUGUGACGAAGCGUGAGUGACGGUAAUGGGUAAAGAAGCACCGGCUAACUACGUG
rnacentral:rRNA from 1 species